CCUACGGGUGGCAGCAGUGGGGAAUAUUGGACAAUGGGCGAAAGCCUGAUCCAGCCAUGCCGCGUGUGUGAAGAAGGCCUUCGGGUUGUAAAGCACUUUCAGUGGGGAAGAAAGCCUUGGGGCUAAUACCCUCGAGGAAGGACAUCACCCACAGAAGAAGCACCGGCUAACUCCGUGCCAGCAGCCGCGGUAAUACGGAGGGUGCGAGCGUUAAUCGGAAUUACUGGGCGUAAAGCGCGCGUAGGCGGUCUGAUAAGCCGGUUGUGAAAGCCCCGGGCUCAACCUGGGAACGGCAUCCGGAACUGUCAGGCUAGAGUGCAGGAGAGGAAGGUAGAAUUCCCGGUGUAGCGGUGAAAUGCGUAGAGCUCGGGAGGAAUACCAGUGGCGAAGGCGGCCUUCUGGACUGACACUGACGCUGAGGUGCGAAAGCGUGGGUAGCAAACAGGAUUAGAUACCCCGGUAGUC
rnacentral:rRNA from 1 species